AUCCUAUUGUCAUGAACAUGUAUCAUGUGAUUCAAGUCUCUGGAUUCACUAUGAUGCUUAAGAAUUAAUAUGUUGUUUCUGUGGAUUAUAUCACAAAACUUUUGAUUUCCUUGAGUCUGGAAAUCAAUAUGAGUGCUUCUUUUACAGUUGUGCCUGCAAGUGCGACAUCGUUUGACAAGAACUGCAGUCCUCUAUUGGAGCUUGGAACAGGCCCUUACGAUACUGUUGGAUGGAACCGAAAAGGGACAUGUAUCCUUGAAGCAAUAACUUUUGCCGUUUACUUUACGUUAAUUUUGUAUAAUUUGAUUAAAUUGAAGCAGCUAAUUGACCAUUCUUUUGAUCUUAUAUUUUGCAAUCUUAAUUCUUCUGUUCACAGUUCUGUGCUUGGCUGGCUUUGGUAACUUACAUGGUGAUAUGGCAUUUAAGUUUAGGAUGCUCAUUCUCUGUUGUUCUUCUUGUCUAUAAUAUCUUCAUUUGGAAAUAGGAAGUUACACUUAUUUCCUCUGUUGACAUCCCUUGUCAUCGUAUAGAAGGAAAUCACAUUUUAGCGCUGCCCUGGUUCAUCAAAUCAACAUAUUAAUUUGAGACUUCUAUGCAUUAUCCACCGACUUAUUUCUCAUUAAAAUGCUGUUUUUGGCUUGUACCAUUCUUUUUUUUUUAAAUGAUUUUUUUUGCAACUUAGUUGUAACUUAACACCCUUCUUCUACAUGCAAAAAAAAGAAAAAGAAAAGCUGUUAAUUUUCAAUUUGCUUCAAAUUCAGAUGCUGUCUUGAGGGUUGAUGCUUCAGUUGUAAGGAUACUUUCUCAUUAAAAUGCUGCUUGCUUAUAUCUGCUGCUUUUAUUGUGCUCUGUAGCGGUAACUUGAUGCCCUUCUCUCACAGACGAUAAAAAGAAUUAAGCAGAGAAACUGUUACCAUUCAAUCCUAUAUACUGAGUUAACUUUCUGCUUGUGACUGCCAAAUGGUUGAGUUCUUACUUAUACCUUGUUUUGUGUUUAAUUAUGCUUAGGAAUUUUGGGACUAUGCAAACAUGUUUUGUGUAAUUAUGCUUAAGCAUUUUGGGACUAUACAAACAUAAAAACAACUUGGAACAACUACCACAGAAUGUUCUGUGACUACUGAGUGGUCUCCAGACGGACAGUAUUUCAUGACUGCGACAACAGCCCCGAGACUACAAGUUGACAAUGGAUUGAGGUGAUCAAAUGGAGCAGAAGUAUAUAAGCAAAUGAAAAGAGUUCACUGUAGCAGUUUAUGGUGGCAGGGUUUGAGGAAGAACUUGUAAAGAUGAUUGUAACAUUUUUGUGGGCUCUAGUGAAGAUUUACAAACAAAAUAAUGGAUCAUACAAUUCAAGAAACAUGGAAAAUAAUUAAUUACA